GACGAACGCUGGCGGCGUGCCUAAUACAUGCAAGUAGAACGCACAGUUUAUACCGUAGCUUGCUACACCAUAGACUGUGAGUUGCGAACGGGUGAGUAACGCGUAGGUAACCUGCCUGGUAGCGGGGGAUAACUAUUGGAAACGAUAGCUAAUACCGCAUAAUAUUAAUUAUUGCAUGAUAAUUGAUUGAAAGAUGCAACUGCAUCACUACUAGAUGGACCUGCGUUGUAUUAGCUAGUAGGUGAGGUAACGGCUCACCUAGGCGACGAUACAUAGCCGACCUGAGAGGGUGAUCGGCCACACUGGGACUGAGACACGGCCCAGACUCCUACGGGAGGCAGCAGUAGGGAAUCUUCGGCAAUGGACGAAAGUCUGACCGAGCAACGCCGCGUGAGUGAAGAAGGUUUUCGGAUCGUAAAGCUCUGUUGUAAGAGAAGAACGGGUGUGAGAGUGGAAAGUUCACACUGUGACGGUAGCUUACCAGAAAGGGACGGCUAACUACGUG
rnacentral:rRNA from 1 species